AACAACAACAAAAGUCACAUUAGAAAAACAGGAAUCUGGGCUUAGGGGAGGGGGUGGCUACAGAGGUGAUUAGGGCCCCGUGUGAAGGAAGGUGCAAGUGCCGUGCUGAGGAGUUCGGUUUUUAGGCUGCAGUCAACAGAGUGUCAGUUUCUAUUUUACAAGUUUAGUUUAUAAGAAGCUUGUAUCACAUCUGGGGGAUGCCCUCUCCCAGAGGGAAAAAUGGGGCCACAUCUCUAAUGAAGAGGUAAUGGUACUUACUAGUCAAACAUGAAGUCCAGGGUAUUUGCACUGAAGCAGCAGGAAUGCAGAAAAGGGAGGGGAUUUGAAGGGAUUUCAUGUGUAGUUGGAGGAUGGAGCAGAAGAUGAUCCUUAGGUUUCUAUUUUUCGAAGACUGGGGUGGUUAUUGAUGCUACAAAUUGAAACAGAAACUGUUGGGGUGAGUUCAGCUUUCGAAAUGUUUCAGGUGCCUGCCAGAUAGUCUUAAGCAUAAGGCAAUCAGUAAAAUAGGGUGGGGGUGUGCUCUGUAUUUGAGAUGCAAAUGUAGGUCCAUCAACAUGUAAAUGUAUUUUGCUGCCUGGAAAAAGGUGAGAUUAACCAGUGGGGAGUGGGGGUGGAGGGGAGGGGGAGACAGUGGGACCUUGGAUGGAACCCAGCGGAGAUUCCACCAAUGGAAUAGCUGGAUGAGCUGGAAGCUGGUCCCUGCUGAGUCAGGCUAGCAUCGUCAGAAAAUGCUCACUCCCGAGAGCUCCUCUCAGUCCUUGCCCCCGUCAGCCUUCAGGCCAACUGGACUUUUCUGGAAGCUCAAAAAUCUUUAGAAUAUCUGGGAGGACCCAAUGUAAUCACAAGGGUCCUUCUUAGUGAAAGAUGGAGUCGAAAGAGAACCAGAGAGAUGGUGGUGUGAGAAGGAUUCAGCCCAAUGUUGCUGGCUAUGAAGAUGGGGCCACAAAUCAGGGGAAAGAGGAGCCUUCUGGAAGCUGGAAAAGGUAAGAAAACAAGAUUUUCCUCUAGAGCUUCCAGAAAGGAAUGCACCCUGCUGGCAUCCUGAUGUAGCUGAGUGAGGUCCAUAUCAGUCUUUGGGUUCACAAAACUGUCAGAUCAUAAAUGUGUGUUGUUUCAAACCGGAGUGUGGUAAUUUUUCACAGCAACAGAGCAUGUACACUCCCUUAAAAUCGGACCAUUGGCAGACAAGGAAGUGGAGGUGUUUAUCCAUUGACUCAUCCUUCUGUGGCGGAGGAUUGCCCCUGUCUUUCACGGGACUUCCUGGCCAGUGGAGCAGCCCUGAAUGCCAGAAAGGCAGUUGGUGGAAGUGGGAUGCUGUCAGUGGGCUGGAACCCCGUUCCCAAAGCUUCAGGCGAACUUAUAGGUGGACCAGGCAUCAGCCUCUGCCGCAGCACCCAGCUGAAAGCAGCCAAGCCAGGAUUUAAACGGGGCUAAGUCUCCUUGGAGCCCAGGUGCCUAACCCAGAGAGGACUUCCCUGCAACACUCGAGGCCAUUCUGUGACCCUCGGUGAAAUUCUCCGGUUUGAUGUUAGCUCUUCUCUCAUUCUCCCUCUGACCUUCAGGCUCCACCUUAAUCUGUUUUGGUAUGUCCUCUUUAAGUGUCUCACUCCUAUUCACCCACCCCAGCACUGAUGUUCAUCAGGUUGUCUUUGACUUUCUCAUGCUCUUCCUUCUGGAGCCAUGCUGUCCAAUAAAUACGGUAAGCCACUCCCCACUGGUGGCUACCAAAUGCUCAGAAUGUCAACUGAGAUGUUCUCUCAGUGGGAAAAAAUGCACUGGAUUAUGAAGACUUAAAAAAAAAUCAAUAGCAUUUAUAUUGAUUCAUCUUGAAGUGUAAUAUUUUACAUAUGUUGGAUUAUAUAAAAUACAUUAUAGAUUUCAUUUGUCUUUUUUCCAUCCGCAUCAUUUUAACCUUUUUUAAACAUGUCCACUUGAACAUUUACAUGGUGGCUCACUGUAUAUUGCUACUGGGCAGCACUGCUCUAGAAAUGCCCCGAACCCUACACUCAGGCAUUCAAGCACUUCCAUGAGUGUUCCACAAACACUUCAAAUGCAGCAUGUUGCAGAGCAAAAUAAUCAUUUUCCUUUCAACUCUGCCCUGCUCUCCCCAUCGACUUUCUCUCCAUUUAGUGUCCUGGUGCAUACACAGUUAUCUGCUGCGCUGUCCAUUCUAGAACCCUGGAGUUUGUCCCCAAUUCCUUCCUUUUCCCAGUCAUUACCACUAGUUGUAUCUCCCUGCAUGUUUUUCUAUCAGACCUUCCCCUCCCUCCCCCUGUUCCUGUCUUUGUUCCUUGUCCCAUUGCUCACCUUGACUGUUGUGGAAGUAUCCUAGUUUGUGGUCUUCUUUUGUGUGAUGUUGACUUGUUUCCAUUCAGUCCAAAGUAAUUAACUGCCAAAAUGCCUAUCCAAGGCAAACCUGA